CUGAAGAACUUAGAAGGGGCAGUGAGGGAAGGAAAAAUGUCGGAGAGUUCGACAUAUUCAAAUUGCAGCCAUCGUUACUGCGAGUGUGGGUCGGAAAUCAAACGCCAGACUUCAUGGACAGAUCUAAAUCCUGGAAGAAGAUUUGAGGCAUGUUGCAAUAAUCGGGUAAGUUUUUGUUUGAAUUGCAGAACAAUAAUUGGUGUUUCUUUUUUUUUGGCAUGACUUCAUGGACAGAUCUGAAUCCUGGAAGAAGAUUUGAGGCAUGUUGCAAUAAUCGGUAAGAGGGGGUUGCAUUUUUUCGCAUGGGUGGAGAAUGAAACAUGCCCACGAGGAAAGGAAAUCUUACCUGGGUUACUUAGAAGACUAAGAGGAAUGGAGGACGAAUUGAGAGCAACGACGGAGAAUUUCAGAUUGAUGGAAGAAGAGAAGAAUAAAUUAGAGCAAAAACUGAGAGAAGAGGAAGAAGAAAUCAAGAUUUUGAAAAAAUAGAAUCUGGGAAUGGGUCAACAAGUUGUUGUACUAGAAGAGAAAAUUUUGAGUUAUCGACAAAGACAAAGGUGGUUAUGGAUUGUUGUUCUGUUGUGUUUUAUGAUUGUGAUAUUGUUCAUCAAUAUGGAUGAUUUGGUAGUAUAGAAAUGGCAGGAAAUGGGCAUAAUGUUGUAUAUACUCUUGAAUAGCUUUUGAUGGCAUGGGCAUAGUGUAGAAAUGGGCAGGAAUUGUUAGUAUAGAAAUGGGCAAAAACCUGGGCAUAAGGUUAUUUUGUGCCUCUUUGGCAGUGUAUCAGAUGUUUUGCUAUAUAAGCUGAUUUUGUGCUGAA